rnacentral:rRNA from 1 species
UACGCAGGGACCGAGCGUUGUCCGGAAUCAUUGGGCGUAAAGAGCGUGUAGGCGGCCUUUUAAGUCCUGCGUGAAAUCCUGCGGCUCAACCGCAGACGGUCGUGGGAAACUGGAAGGCUAGAGUGCGGGAGAGGAGAGUGGAAUUCCCGGUGUAGCGGUGAAAUGCGCAGAUAUCAGGAGGAACACCGGUGGCGAAGGCGGGACUCUGGGCCGAUACUGACGCUGAGGAGCGAAAGCGUGGGGAGCAAACAGG